UAGCUAGUUGGUGGGGUAAGGGCCUACCAAGGCGACGAUCGGUAGCUGGUCUGAGAGGAUGACCAGCCACACUGGAACUGAGACACGGUCCAGACUCCUACGGGAGGCAGCAGUGGGGAAUAUUGGACAAUGGGGGGAACCCUGAUCCAGCAAUGCCGCGUGUGUGAAGAAGGCCUGAGGGUUGUAAAGCACUUUCAGUAGGGAGGAGGGUAAUUUGGUUAAGAGCUGGAUUACUGGACGUUACCUACAGAAGAAGCGCCGGCUAACUCCGUGCCAGCAGCCGCGGUAAUACGGAGGGUGCGAGCGUUAAUCGGAAUUACUGGGCGUAAAGCGUGCGUAGGUGGUUGAUUAAGUUAUCUGUGAAAUCCCUGGGCUUAACCUGGGCAGGUCAGAUGAUACUGGUUGACUGGAGUAUGGGAGAGGGUAGUGGAAUUUCCGGUGUAGCGGUGAAAUGCGUAGAGAUCGGAAGGAACACCAGUGGCGAAGGCGGCUACCUGGCCUAAUACUGACACUGAGGCACGAAAGCGUGGGGAGCAAACAGGAUUAGAUACCCUGGUAGUCCACGCUGUAAACGAUGUCAACUAGCUGUUGGUUAUAUUAAAAUAAUUAGUGGCGC
rnacentral:rRNA from 1 species